GCAAAGAGUUAAUGCACUCAGCUGCUAACUGAAAGGCUGGUGGUUCAAGUCCACC
rnacentral:tRNA from 1 species